rnacentral:tRNA from 1 species
CAGAGCGUAGCUAAGCUAGCAUAGCAUCUCCCUUACACUGAGAAGGCAUCCGUGCAAAUCGGAUCGCACUGA